rnacentral:rRNA from 1 species
UACGGAGGGGGCUAGCGUUGUUCGGAAUUACUGGGCGUAAAGCGCACGUAGGCGGCUUUGUAAGUUAGAGGUGAAAGCCCGGGGGCUCAACUCCGGAAUUGCCUUUAAGACUGCAUCGCUAGAAUUGUGGAGAGGUGAGUGGAAUUCCGAGUGUAGAGGUGAAAUUCGUAGAUAUUCGGAAGAACACCAGUGGCGAAGGCGACUCACUGGACACAUAUUGACGCUGAGGUGCGAAAGCGUGGGGAGCAAACAGGG